UACGGGGGGGGCAAGCGUUGUUCGGAAUUACUGGGCGUAAAGGGCUCGUAGGCGGCCAACUAAGUCAGACGUGAAAUCCCUCGGCUUAACCGGGGAACUGCAUCUGAUACUGGAUGGCUUGAGAUUGGGAGAGGGAUGCGGAAUUCCAGGUGUAGCGGUGAAAUGCGUAGAUAUCUGGAAGAACACCCGUGGCGAAGGCGGCUCUCUGGGACGGUACUGACGCUGAGACGCGAAAGCGUGGGGAGCGAACAGG
rnacentral:rRNA from 1 species